GAUGAACGCUGACAGAAUGCUUAACACAUGCAAGUCAACUUGAACUUCGGUUUGGGUGGCGGACGGGUGAGUAACGCGUACAGAACUUGCCUCACAGAUAGGGACAACAUUUGGAAACGAAUGCUAAUACCUGAUAUUAUGAUUAUAUGGCAUCGUAUAAUUAUGAAAGCUAUAUGCGCUGUGAGAGAGCUUUGCGUCCCAUUAGCUAGUUGGAGAGGUAACGGCUCACCAAGGCGAUGAUGGGUAGCCGGCCUGAGAGGGUGAUCGGCCACAAGGGGACUGAGACACGGCCCGUACUCCUACGGGAGGCAGCAGUGGGGAAUAUUGGACAAUGGACCAAGAGUCUGAUCCAGCAAUUCUGUGUGCACGAUGAAGUUUUUCGGAAUGUAAAGUGCUUUCAGUUGGGAAGAAAAAAAUGACGGUACCAACAGAAGAAGUGACGGCUAAAUACGUG
rnacentral:rRNA from 1 species